rnacentral:rRNA from 1 species
UACAGAGGGGGCUAGCGUUGUUCGGAAUUACUGGGCGUAAAGGGCGCGUAGGCGGCCCUCUAAGUCGAACGUGAAAUCCCCGGGCUCAACCCGGGAACUGCGUCCGAUACUGGAGGGCUCGAAUCCGGGAGAGGGAUGUGGAAUUCCAGGUGUAGCGGUGAAAUGCGUAGAUAUCUGGAGGAACACCGGUGGCGAAGGCGGCAUCCUGGACCGGUAUUGACGCUGAGGUGCGAAAGCCAGGGGAGCAAACGGG